rnacentral:misc_RNA from 1 species
AACUUUUAACAAUGGAUCUCUUGGCUCUCGCAUCGAUGAUGAACGCAGCGAAAUGCGAUACGUAAUGUGAAUUGCAGAAUUCAGUGAAUCAUCGAAUCUUUGAACGCACCUUGCGCCCCUUGGAAUUCCGAGGGGCACACCCGUUUGAGUGUCGUGAACAUCCUUCAACCUUUCUUGGUUUCUUAACCGGGGAAGGCUUGGACUUUGGGGGUCUUUCAUUGCUGGCCUCUUUGAAGCCAGCUCCUCCUAAAUGGAUUAGUGUGGUCUGCUUUGCCGAUCCUUGACGUGAUAAGAUGUUUCUACGUCUUGGGUUUCGCACUGUCGCUUUAGACCCCGCUUCUAACCGUCUUGCAUUCAAGACAGAGUUUUAAACCUUGACCUCAAAUCGGGUGAGACUACCCGCUGAACUUAAGCAUAUCAAUAAGCGGAGGCU